GACGAACGCUGGCGGCGUGCUUAACACAUGCAAGUCGAGCGGUAAGGCCCUUUCGGGGGUACACGAGCGGCGAACGGGUGAGUAACACGUGGGUGACCUGCCCUCAGCUCUGGGAUAAGCCUGGGAAACCGGGUCUAAUACCGGAUAUGACUCCAUGACGCAUGUUGUGGGGUGAAAGCCUUGUGCGGCUGAGGAUGGGCCCGCGGCCUAUCAGCUUGUUGGUGGGGUGAUGGCCUACCAAGGCGACGACGGUAGCCGGCCUGAGAGGGCGACCGGCCACACUGGGACUGAGACACGGCCCAGACUCCUACGGGAGGCAGCAGUGGGGAAUCUUGCGCAAUGGGCGAAAGCCUGACGCAGCGACGCCGCGUGAGGGAUGACGGCCUCGGUUGUAA
rnacentral:rRNA from 1 species